UGAAUUAUGUAUCCGAUAAUAAAAAUAUUAUAAAACAUAACAUUUUACCUUAAACAAACAAGAAAAAGACCAAAUCUAACUAGAAACGCUGCCCUGCAUUGUUUUAAGCAACUAUUUCCUGGAAAUUACCAUAUAUAAUAUAAUGUUCUUUUUUCUGCCUGGUGACUAGCUUAAGAAGGAAGUAAAUUUAAAAAAAAUGCAUAAGUGCAGAAUAAGAAGCGGUUUUUUAUAAUUUGAUCUACUUCAAACAUCAAUAAACUUGAGUUGUAUUCGCUGAAAUGAGAGUUCUACGUUAAUAUUGCUGCUCUUAUUUGCAGCGGGAGACAUAUCAUUAAAUGUUAGUUUUAAGAAUUUGAUGAAGUUGAGAAAACACAAUAACAUUAACUAACAUAUAUGUAUAUUUAAUUAACGCUGGCGAAGCUGGAGUCUCAGCUGACUAGUACUAUAGAACUCUUGGGGUCCCAAUGAAAGUUUAAGAUUCAGAUUUUCUUGCAUACUCAAAAUGUGUUUAUUAAUUGUAGUUGUUUUACAUCACUAAAGAAUUUGUGUAAAAGUCAAAUGACCUUCUCAAAGUUAGGCUACAUAUGAAAAUAAAAAUAAUGAUAAUAUAGUUAAAGCAAACAUUUUUCAAUAAAACUGCUUUAAUUCUUGAAGGCACAUUUUUAGGUCAGAUCGUGAUUUAAAUUAUACAAAGGUCUAUAAUGGACGAAUAAUAAACUGCAUUU